UACGGGGGGAGCAAGCGUUGUUCGGAUUUACUGGGCGUAAAGGGCGCGUAGGCGGCCACCGCAAGUCGACUGUGAAAUCUCCGGGCUUAACCCGGAAAGGUCAGCCGAUACUGCGGGGCUAGAGUGCAGAAGGGGCAACUGGAAUUCUCGGUGUAGCGGUGAAAUGCGUAGAUAUCGAGAGGAACACCUGCGGCGAAGGCGGUUGCUGGGCUGACACGUGACGCUGAGGCGCGAAAGCUAGGGGAGCGAACGGG
rnacentral:rRNA from 1 species